rnacentral:rRNA from 1 species
AUUGAACGCUGGCGGCAUGCCUAACACAUGCAAGUCGAACGAGUGUCGGACGGGUGAGUAAUGUCUGGGAAACUUCCUGAUGGAGGGUGUUCACUACUGGAAACGGUAGCUAAUACCGCAUACCAUCAGCUGUGCCCAUCUGGGAUUCGCUUGUUGGUGGGUUAACGGCUCACCAAGGCGACGAUCCCUAGCUGGUCUGAGAGGAUGACAAGACACACUGGAACGGAGACAAGGUCCAGAGUGCUACGGAAGGCAGCAGGGGAGAAUAUUGAACAAUGGGCGCAAGACGGAUGAAGCUAUGCCGCGUGGAUGAAGAAGGCCUGCGGGUUGUAAAGUACUUUCAGCGAGGAGGCGUUACCCGCAGAAGAAGCACCGGCUAACACCGUGCCAGAAGCCGCGGUAAUAA